GCCUGUUGGAAAGCAGCGAGCAUUACGGUCAUUCUGACGCUGGAGAAUAUGACAGUAAUGCCCGCUGACUUCUAAUGGAG
ncrna:Branchiostoma floridae (Florida lancelet) microRNA bfl-mir-4859 precursor